rnacentral:rRNA from 1 species
UACGAGGGGGGCGAGCGUUGUUCGGAAUUAUUGGGCGUAAAGGGUGCGUAGGCGGUUUGGUAAGUCGGAUGUGAAAGCCCUCGGCUCAACUGAGGAAGUGCACCCGAAACUGGCGAGCUUGAGUACGAAAAGAGGAUCGCGGAAUUCCCGGUGUAGAGGUGAAAUUCGUAGAUAUCGGGAGGAACACCGGUGGCGAAGGCGGCGAUCUGGGUCGAUACUGACGCUGAGGUGCGAAAGCGUGGGGAGCAAACAGG